rnacentral:rRNA from 1 species
ACACGGACCAAGGAGUGCAACAUGCGUGCGAGUCUCCGGGUGGCAAACCCGUGGGCGCAAUGAAAGUGAAGGCGGGCCCGGCCCGCUGUGGCGAGAGCCCCCGGCUCCUCGGGGGCGCAUCGUCGACCGAUCCCAGGUCACGCUGUGGCGGGAUUUGAGUGAGAGCGUGCCUGUUGCGACCCGAAAGAUGGUGAACUAUGCCUGAAUAGGGUGAAGCCAGAAGAAAUUCUGGUGGAAGCUCGCAGCGAUUCUGACGUGCAAAUCGAUCGUCAAAUUUGGGUAUAGGGGCGAAAGACUAAUCGAACCAUCUAGUAGCUGGUUCCCUCCGAAGUUUCCCUCAGGAUAGCUGGAGCCCGGUGCAGUUUUAUCAGGUAAAGCGAAUGAUUAGAGGUCUUGGGGCUGAAACAGCUUCAACCUAUUCUCAAACUUUAAAUGGGUAAGAAGCCCGGCUUGCUUGGUUGAAGUCGGGCGCAGAAUGCCGGGGUUCCUAGUGGGCCAUUUUUGGUAAGCAGAACUGGCGAUGUGGGAUGAACCAAAUGUCGGGUUAAGGUGCCUGAAUCGACGCUCAUCAGAUCCCAUGAAAGGUGUUGGUUGAUACUGACAGCAGGACGGUGGCCAUGGAAGUCGGAAUCCGCUAAGGAGUGUGUAACAACU